rnacentral:rRNA from 1 species
ACCUACGGGGGGCAGCAGUGAGGAAUAUUGGUCAAUGGGAGAGAUCCUGAACCAGCCAAGCCGCGUGAGGGAAGACGGCCCUAUGGGUUGUAAACCUCUUUUGUCGGAGAACAAAACCCGGGACGAGUCCCGGACUGCGUGUAUCCGAAGAAAAAGCAUCGGCUAACUCCGUGCCAGCAGCCGCGGUAAUACGGAGGAUGCGAGCGUUAUCCGGAUUUAUUGGGUUUAAAGGGUGCGUAGGCGGUCUGUUAAGUCAGCGGUAAAAUCGAGAGGCUCAACCUCUUUCCGCCGUUGAAACUGUCGGG